UCAUUAAGGCACAUUUAGUUCUAAAAUUUAAAGCUAUAGAAAAAUGGAGUGAUUUGCCCAGGAAGAGGCAAGUUUCUUGAAUCUGAAGACUGGGCAAGCCCUUGUCAGAUAUAUUAACCACUAGAUUCUUUUGUGAUUCUUAUCUUAUUAUUUCUUUUUGUUUCUGCUCAAAAAGCACCUGAAUUCCCUUCUGACUCUCAAAUCUUGUGAUUCUGUUCAACACCAACCUUCCAUUUCAUUUGCAGAUCUGCCUUAAUGUUUAAAUAGCUCGCAUGGGCAUAGGAGACCCUGCUCGUUUCACCUCCCAGCUGGAAGGAUUGACCAUCUCUCCCCAAGCCAGGAUAUUAAUUUGGGGAGCUGUAUCAUGAGAAGCUUGCAGCCAUCUGUUUAUUGAUUCUAGCACAGUUUCAACAGAGCCAACCCUGUCUGUUCCUCACACUGUAACAAGGCCUCAUUUCUUUGUUUACAGUUGCAGAGACUCGCAAGGUCACAGCAGGAAGUCAGCAAGGAAAUGAACCUCUUCCAGCUGGUGGAUUAAUUUCAGUGUUCCAAAAGUCUUAAUGCAGCUUUAAGCUUAGUGGCUUAAAACCAAGAGAUGAUCAGCUGAUGAAGGAGUGAGGAAAGGAAUAUACGUGGAGAACCAAGAGAACAAGAAUGGUAACAAAUGCCAGAGAAGAAAGGAGAAGAAAGAAUAAGGAGGAAAAGGAGGAAGAGGAAAAGGAGAAGACUUUGGUGACAGCAACUGGGGAUUACACCAGGUACAAUUUCUGACAUAGUAGAUGCUUAUUUAUGGAAUGAUUACAGUAAUACCAGGGCAUUUCAGAAACCUCAUUUCCAGUUUUGCCAUUGCAGUAGAGGAUGGCUGAUAAUCCCUUGUUGAUUCAGCUUCUCUAACAGAAAGAGAGGGAGAAAGGAACAUUACUUACAGCUAGGACACAUUUAUAGGCUAUUUUGUUCCAGGAGAAGAAA
rnacentral:lncRNA from 1 species